AGCAGCGACCCGCCCCCUCGCACUGAGCAUGCGCGACCCGCGGCCGAAGUCCUGAAGCUUCCUGGUUUCCGGGUUUUGGAGGUGGUCGAGGGAGGGAGAGCGAGGUCGCGCACCAGGCUCUUAACCUUCUCUCUGCCGGGCUCAGACUUCCUGCGAAGCGGAAUGAGAGACGUGGCACAAGAGGUCCCCAGGGAGAAAACCUGAAAGCCAGCGCCUCCUUAACACAGACUGCUAGGGGGUGAGACGACAUUAGACGCUGUCCCCAGAUAGAAGCAUCACUUCCUAUAGAGACGGUUUGUUCCUGAUGUGUCCACCAGAGGCCAGUCCCAGCAGGAUGAGUCUUAGAAUCCAUAGGGUUUAAGAACAUGAACAUUGCAGCCCAACAGACUUGGUUUUGGAUGUAAGAUGUGUUAUUUACUAGCUCUGUGACUUUGGGCAAGUUAUUAAGCUCUCUAAGCCUCAAGUUCCUCAUCUUUAAUAGAGGGAUAAUAACAGUACAUCCAACAUGGGGUUGUGUUGAGAAUUAAAUGAGACAGUGCAUGGAAAGUGCUGAGCUCUAUGCCUGGCACUUAGCAAGUGCUCAAUAAACAUA